rnacentral:rRNA from 1 species
AGAACGAACGCUGGCGGCAGGCCUAACACAUGCAAGUCGAACGCCCCGCAAGGGGAGUGGCAGACGGGUGAGUAACGCGUGGGAACAUACCUUUCGGUUCGGAAUAGCUCAGGGAAACUUGGAUUAAUACCGGAUACGGCUGAGAGGCGAAAGAUUUAUCGCCGGAGGAUUGGCCCGCGUUCGAUUAGCUUGUUGGUGAGGUAACGGCUCACCAAGGCGAUGAUCGAUAGCUGGUCUGAGAGGAUGAUCAGCCACAUUGGGACUGAGACACGGCCCAAACUCCUACGGGAGGCAGCAGUGGGGAAUAUUGGACAAUGGGCGCAAGCCUGAUCCAGCCAUGCCGCGUGAGUGAUGACGGCCUUAGGGUUGUAAAGCUCUUUCGCUCGGGACGAUAAUGACGGUACCGAGAUAAGAAGCCCGGCUAACUUCGUGCCAGCAGCCGC